UGGGGAAUAUUGGACAAUGGGCGCAAGCCUGAUCCAGCCAUGCCGCGUGUGUGAAGAAGGCCUUCGGGUUGUAAAGCACUUUUGUCCGGAAAGAAAAGCAUUCGGUGAAUACCCGGAUGUUCUGACGGUACCGGAAGAAUAAGCACCGGCUAACUUCGUGCCAGCAGCCGCGGUAAUACGAAGGGUGCAAGCGUUACUCGGAAUUACUGGGCGUAAAGCGUGCGUAGGUGGUUGUUUAAGUCUGAUGUGAAAGCCCUGGGCUCAACCUGGGAAUGGCAUUCGAAACUGGGCAGCUAGAGUGCGGUAGAGGGUAGUGGAAUUCCCGGUGUAGCAGUGAAAUGCGUAGAGAUCGGGAGGAACAUCUGUGGCGAAGGCGACUGCCUGGACCAGCACUGACACUGAGGCACGAAAGCGUGGGGAGCAAACA
rnacentral:rRNA from 1 species